UACGUAGGAGGCAAGCGUUGUCCGGAAUUAUUGGGCGUAAAGAGCUCGUAGGCGGUCUGUCGCGUCGGCUGUGAAAACCCGGAGCUCAACUCCGGGCCUGCAGUCGAUACGGGCAGACUGGAGUUCGGCAGGGGAGACUGGAAUUCCUGGUGUAGCGGUGAAAUGCGCAGAUAUCAGGAGGAACACCGGUGGCGAAGGCGGGUCUCUGGGCCGAUACUGACGCUGAGGAGCGAAAGCGUGGGGAGCGAACAGG
rnacentral:rRNA from 1 species